GUCAUGGCGACGUCCAGUGCUCCAGCCGGUGUGAGGACACGAUAUGCUGGGGUUUUUGUCCGCACGCCAAACGGGUUUGGAGGACCCUCUUCGCCUUCGGAGAGCAGAGUCAACACGGAGAGUUUUGGGACUGGAAUUAAAUAAAGACAGAGAUGUUGAAAGAAUCCACGGCGGUGGAAUUAACACCCUUGACAUUGAACCUGUUGAAGGGAGAUACAUGUUAUCAGGUGGUUCAGAUGGUGUGAUUGUACUUUAUGACCUUGAGAACUCCAGCAGACAAUCUUAUUACACAUGUAAAGCAGUGUGUUCCAUUGGCAGAGAUCAUCCUGAUGUUCACAGAUACAGUGUGGAGACUGUACAGUGGUAUCCUCAUGACACUGGCAUGUUCACAUCAAGCUCAUUUGAUAAAACUCUGAAAGUAUGGGAUACAAAUACAUUACAAACUGCAGAUGUAUUUAAUUUUGAGGAAACAGUUUAUAGUCAUCAUAUGUCUCCAGUCUCCACCAAGCACUGUUUGGUAGCAGUUGGUACUAGAGGACCCAAAGUACAACUUUGUGACUUGAAGUCUGGAUCCUGUUCUCACAUUCUACAGGGUAUUUUUAUUUUAUUUCAAACGGCAACUACUUUGAGUAAACGAUUCAAUAAAAAGAAACGUUACUAACAGUGUAUUCUUUGUAAGUGACAUGACUAAUGUACUUUGUGCUGGUUGUUGAGACUCAGCAGGGAAAUAAAGAUCCUUCUGUGCAUUAUUCUUAUAAAACUGAACCAUUGAAAACACAUUUAUAUGAACAAUGAUCAUUGGGGAAGCUCAAACAAUAUGAAAAAUAGUUCUAACUCAAAACCUUGUGUUAUUUCUACAUUAAAAAGACUAAUGCAACUCA
rnacentral:lncRNA from 1 species